UAGUCCACAUAGCACCAACAGCCCAGUUUACAAAAUCUACAUCGAGUAGCACAUUUCUGCUGCUUUUAAUAAUCUUCCCAGUGUUAUAGACGGUGCUGAAGAGUCGGUGAUAUAUUUAGCACGAUGGCUGAGCUUUUUGCCUCGCACAACACUUGAAUUCAAACUCCAUGAAUAGACAGGGAGUCUGCAGAACGGGCAGAAUGGAAGGGAAACCAUGUUCUCUUCACAUGAGUGCUCAAGGUACCCAAAAUGUAUAGAAACCAAUUGACAAUGGCUGAUAAAAGUAAAAGUCAACAAAGGAGAUCAAAAACCCAUGAGCAGCUAUAGGAGACCAGAGGAAGAGGGCGAGGCUUCUACAAGGUGCAGUGCUGAUGCAGGACGUUCUCUCAAAACAUCAAAUGCAGGUUGACAACCAAAGCUCCUAGAGACCUGUAGGACAUAACCAUUAGAAGAGAAGCACUUGACAUUAGCAAAGGCACUUGGAUAAUUUAAACAAACAAACUCUUGACGGGAGGAUCAGAACUUAGUUCCCCACCCUGCCUCUUUCCUCACUGGGAACUUUCCUGCCAGCGUUUCAGAAGAGUCGAGAACAGGCCUACGUGAAUGCUUGCACGUCUGUGCAAUCCUGUCCGUCUGGCACUCUGGCUGUGCUUACAUGCUUCGUCUUCUGAUGACACAGUUGGAGAAAUAAAGUCAGGAAGUGAAGUUUAUGGCUGAGAAGGCAGCCCACGUUCAAAGUGACUGACAGCAGAAGCCGCAAGGAGGGCUGUGCAUUUGUUCCUUGGAGAGAGUAGUGAAUAAAAAUGACAAGAACUCUGACAAGAACUCGGAAGGUCAGACAGACGGGUGUAAAUUCCAGCUGCUUUAUCAGUGGGCUAUCUGUGCUCUGGAGUGCUGGCUCUGAAGAACACACGGCAAG